CACAGAGAGAGUCAACAUGUAACGCCAUAGGGUUGGAAGCCCGGAACUAUUCUCUGGUACCUCUUUCCUGGGACCCAGUAAGUCAGCUCCGGCCAGCUUCCCAGCUUGGCAAAGAGAGGGUUCCAUCCAGCCCUGCAGUCAGGUUCUGGGACAACUGGGAAUGCCCUCCAUACAUGUGGAAGCAGAUGGUUGUGUUGGAAUGCCAUAGAAUUCCAACCAUAGCAUUUGGCAGAGAAGGUAAAUUGCUGACUCCAACUCUUUGGUUUUGUUCCAUACCAAGUUGGCACUGAUGUGGAGCAACAAGGCCGAAGGAUUUGUGUAAUUCGUGGAUCCACACAGCAGACAAUUCUAUACUAUGAGGAUUUUAUUUUUAUUUUUGUGUUUUUGCUAUAGUAGGAAGUGAACUAGGGUCCUAAGCAUGUUGUGCAAAUUCUCUCCUGUUCUCAUAUAUACAUAUAUAUAUAUAUAUAUAUAUACAUAUAUAUAUAUAUCCAACACCUUCACCUCCUUUUUUUUUCAACUUUUUAUUUGAGGACAGGGUCUCAAGUUGGCCUUGAACUUGUAAUAUUCUUGUCUCAAUUUCCUGCGUAGCUAGGAUUACAGACCUGCGCCACUAGGCCUAGCUGGAGGGACUUUUAAUGAGGUUUUGAGCAAGGACCCUGGCCAGCCUUACCAGUCUCAACUCAUGCUUUCCAUGCUCUCUCUCACUGUGUCCCCUGGUGUGACCAUUGCACAAAAAUACCUACUCUGCUUUCUUUGGUCUACCUUGUCAUUCAGGCCCAGGUCAAGUGAUACUUCCAUAAAAGCUGUGACUCUUGCCUAGUCUUCCUUCCAUGGCACCCUAGUCUUUUUCUUUGCAGCUGUAAUGACAUAUCCUAAGCCACCCUGAGCUCCAAGCAACUUUGCCUGCUCUAUAGCUCCAUUUUUCUUUUAAUUGCUACUCCUCCUUCACCAUGGCGAAAAAUGGUUACUACAACGUGAAUAUGUUCCCCAAAAGCCCUGUGUUAGAAGCUCAAUCCAUAAAUUCACACAUUAAUGGUGUUUGGAGUUGGAGCCUUUGGAAGAUAAUUAGGAGUAAAUAGGGCUGUGAUAAUAGAGCUUCCAUGAAGGCAUUUGUGGCUUUGUAAGAGGAGGAAGAGAGAUCUGAGCUGGGGCACUGAAUGUCUCACCGAGUGAUGCCCUCCCCGUGUCAUGAUGAAGCACCAAGGCCAUCACCUGAUAUUGGUGCUAUGCUCUUGCUCUUCUAGAACUGUGAUUAAAAUA